CCAAUGGGUAUUCAGAAACAAUAAAUUUUGUUUUAUUAAUAUUGUGAAGUUCUACUUAAGUACAGCAACUAUGUGGCAGGUGGUUAAAAUUCGGGAAAGGAAGCUAAGUCAAAUAUGAACUCUACAAAGCAAGUGGUUUGAUUAAGGGAGCAUAAUAUAAGCAACUAGCAUUAUUAACUGUCAUCGGCAUUUCAUUGGUUUUGAAACCAGUAGACGAAAUUUUGUAUACCUCAAGGAGAUAAUAUCGAUAAGGUUCUUUUCAAGAACUUUAAUUUGCUCAACUCAGUACUCUACUUUGACUACAGAAAGAUUAAUGGAAGAUGAGUGAACUGAUUGCAAUGUGUCAACAAGAAGAGGAUCGCCUUAAGCUCGAGAAACCUGAAGCUGUUUACCUUACUGCCACUGCUAAUUCUAAGAAGAGGAAGGGUAACAACAGUAACAAGACUGGAAGGAAAGCUUCAAAGAUCAGUCCUGGUGCAGUUGCCUCUAGCUCUAAUGUCUUGAACAUCAAAUGUAAGUUCUGUCAUACUCAAGGGCAUGUUCAAAAAGAUUGCCCUAAGUUCAAGGAAUGGCUAGCUAAGAAAGGGAUUCCAUACAAUCCAGAAGCUACCAAAGGGC